UUUUUACUUAAACAUUAUCAGAGAGGUUAUGAAUGAAGCCUUCCUGAAUGCUCAUUCAAGGUUGUACAAGAAGCAUGGCACCAGCAUCUGCAUCUGAUGAGGACCUCAGGGUGCUUCCACUUGUGGCAGAAGAAGGGGAGCUAGCAUGUGCAGAUACCACACGGCGAGAGAUGAAGGAAGAGAAAGAGGAGGAGGGUUCCAGGCUCUUUUUAACAAUCAGACCUCACAGGAACUAAUAGUGUGAGAAGAUGUUUAACAUAUUCUAAUAAGAUAUUCCUAAUAAACUGCCGUGAGAUAACUGCUGUA
rnacentral:lncRNA from 1 species